rnacentral:misc_RNA from 1 species
UCCGGUUUGGCACCGGCAGUUCCCCUAGAGUUCCCGGCAUUACCCGCUGGUAACUAGGGGCAAGGGUUGCGCUCGUUGCGGGACUUAACCCAACAUCUCACGACACGAGCUGACGACAGCCAUGCAGCACCUGUGCUCUCGCCCCUUGCGGGAAGGAAGCUAUCUCUAGCGACCAUACGAGGCAUGUCAAAGGCUGGUAAGGUUCUUCGCGUUGCUUCGAAUUGAACCACAUGCUCCACCGCUUGUGCGGGCCCCCGUCAAUUCCUUUGAGUUUCAGCCUUGCGGCCGUACUCCCCAGGCGGGGCACUUAAUGCGUUAGCGCCGGCCCUCAGGGGGUCGCUCCCCCAAGCGCCUAGUGCCCAUCGUUUACGGCGUGGACUAC